CACAGUGUACACAUUGUUCAUUCCUCAAACCUGUCCUGAUCACGAUUUACAUCCUGUAUUAUACGCCAGCGCUGCACUCACUAUUCUGCUGGUGCAGUCACUGUGUACAUACAUUAUAUUACUUAUCCUGUACUCAUCCUGAUAAGCAUGCUGUAUUAUACUCCAGAGCUGCAUUCACUAUUCUGCUGGUGGAGUC